UAUGAAUAAGGAUCGGCUAACUCCGUGCCAGCAGCCGCGGUAAUACGGAGGAUCCGAGCGUUAUCCGGAUUUAUUGGGUUUAAAGGGAGCGUAGGUGGGUUGUUAAGUCAGUUGUGAAAGUUUGCGGCUCAACCGUAAAAUUGCAGUUGAUACUGGCGGCCUUGAGUGCAACAGAGGUAGGCGGAAUUCGUGGUGUAGCGGUGAAAUGCUUAGAUAUCACGAAGAACUCCGAUUGCGAAGGCAGCUUACUGGACUGUAACUGACGCUGAUGCUCGAAAGUGUGGGUAUCAAACAGGAUUAGAUACCCUGGUAGUCCACACAGUAAACGAUGAAUACUCGCUGUUUGCGAUAUACAGUAAGCGGCCAAGCGAAAGCGUUAAGUAUUCCACCUGGGGAGUACGCCGGCAACGGUGAAACUCAAAGGAAUUGACGGGGGCCCGCACAAGCGGAGGAACAUGUGGUUUAAUUCGAUGAUACGCGAGGAACCUUACCCGGGCUUAAAUUGCAACUGACGGAACCGGAAACGGUUCUUUCUUCGGACAGUUGUGAAGGUGCUGCAUGGUUGUCGUCAGCUCGUGCCGUGAGGUGUCGGCUUAAGUGCCAUAACGAGCGCAACCCUUGUUGUCAGUUACUAACAGGUGAUGCUGAGGACUCUGACAAGACUGCCAUCGUAAGAUGUGAGGAAGGUGGGGAUGACGUCAAAUCAGCACGGCCCUUACGUCCGGGGCUACACACGUGUUACAAUGGGGGGUACAGA
rnacentral:rRNA from 1 species